rnacentral:rRNA from 1 species
AAAUUGAAGAGUUUGAUCAUGGCUCAGAUUGAACGCUGGCGGCAGGCCUAACACAUGCAAGUCGAACGGUAACAGGAAGCAGCUUGCUGCUUUGCUGACGAGUGGCGGACGGGUGAGUAAUGUCUGGGAAACUGCCUGAUGGAGGGGGAUAACUACUGGAAACGGUAGCUAAUACCGCAUAACGUCGCAAGACCAAAGAGGGGGACCUUCGGGCCUCUUGCCAUCGGAUGUGCCCAGAUGGGAUUAGCUAGUAGGUGGGGUAAAGGCUCACCUAGGCGACGAUCCCUAGCUGGUCUGAGAGGAUGACCAGCCACACUGGAACUGAGACACGGUCCAGACUCCUACGGGAGGCAGCAGUGGGGAAUAUUGCACAAUGGGCGCAAGCCUGAUGCAGCCAUGCCGCGUGUAUGAAGAAGGCCUUCGGGUUGUAAAGUACUUUCAGCGGGGAGGAAGGGAGUAAAGUUAAUACCUUUGCU